rnacentral:misc_RNA from 1 species
AUCCUAAACAAAAUAAAGUAGACAAGUAA